rnacentral:rRNA from 1 species
AGGAUUAACGCUGGCGGCGUGCCUAACACAUGCAAGUCGAACGAGGUAGCAAUACCUAGUGGCAGACGGGUGAGUAACACGUGGUCAACCUACCGCUUUGUGGGGGAUAACUAGCCGAAAGGUUAGCUAAUACCGCAUACGUCGCAGGCCGGCAUCAGUCGACGAUAAAAGGAGCAAUCCGCAAGGUGACGGGACCGCGUCCCAUUAGCUAGUUGGUGAGGUAAUGGCCCACCAAGGCUCCGAUGGGUAGCUGGUUUGAGAGAGCGACCAGCCACACUGGGACUGAGAUACGGCCCAGACUCCUACGGGAGGCAGCAGUGAGGAAUUUUCCGCAAUGGGCGAAAGCCUGACGGAGCGACGCCGCGUGUGGGAAGAAGGCCUUCGGGUCGUAAACCACUGUCGAAGGGGAAGAUAUUGACGGUACCCUUGGAGGAAGCCCCGGCUAACUACGCGCCAGCAGCCGC